rnacentral:tRNA from 1 species
GCCCCCGUAGUCUAGUGGAUAGAAUACAAGGUUGCGGACCUUGAGGCCCGAGUUCGAUUCUCGGCGGGGGCA